rnacentral:rRNA from 1 species
UACAGAGGGUGCGAGCGUUGUUCGGAAUUAUUGGGCGUAAAGGGCGCGUAGGCGGUGCGGUAAGUCACCUGUGAAAUCUCCUGGCUCAACUGGGAGCUUGCAGGCGAAACUGCCGUGCUGGAGUGUGGGAGAGGUGCGUGGAAUUCCUGGUGUAGCGGUGAAAUGCGCAGAUAUCAGGAGGAACACCGGUGGCGAAGGCGGGUCUCUGGGCCGUAACUGACGCUGAGGAGCGAAAGCGUGGGGAGCGAACAGG